GGAGGGAUGGCCGAGUGGACGAAGGCGCAUGUCUUGAAAACAUGUUUGGGACCUCCCAACAAGGGUUCGAAUCCCUUUCCCUCCG
rnacentral:tRNA from 1 species